GCCUCCCCUCACCUAGCCCCCUUCUGCGAGAUCCUGGAAACGAUCCUUCGAAAAGGAAUUAAACUGUUACGAUCCUCUGGUCUCAGUGCUGGGAAAUGAAGAUUUCAUGGUAUCCCUGGGACAUGGGGAUAAGCUCGUGAGGAUCUGGCAGUAAUGUUGGCUCUUGGUCCCCCCUCUUACAGAGCCGUUUCUCUCACUGAUGCUAGUGGUGUCAGAGAUGAAUUUCUCCCUGGAUCUGCAGAAUUCCAGUUUCUUGGAUGAAAGCUGGCUGCUGCCGGUAAGACUCCGCUUCUCUCUCUGAUGUGGGAUCCAAGAUUUUAUUCUUCCUCCUUCCAUCU
rnacentral:lncRNA from 1 species